AAACUUUUAAUUAAAAUAUAUUGAGGAAUGUGGGUAACCAACAGUUGCUGAUCCCCAUUGACUUUGAUAGAAGGAAAAAAAAAUACUAUGGAAGUCACUGGAACC